GCACCAAAGAAGACAAGACAUUUCAAGGAUCAGAGGGAGGAUGAUCAGGAGCAGCCGAAUACAACCAACAAACCAAGAAGAUUGGUUCUCAGCAAAACACCUAGGACAGGAUAAGGACAACAUUCAGCAAAGAGAAGUUGAAAGGGGUCAUCCAGGAUGAGAAAAUCAGAGCUAAUUUCUUCUAAAAACUGCCCCACCUCUGUCCUAAUGUUGUGUGUGAUAUCGCCGCUCAGUUCUUAGAAAGUGAAUGUGAGAAAACUUGUAAUACUACACACAACAUGAGGACAGGUUUGGCGCUGUUUUCGGAAACAAAUAGCUCUGUUUUCGAUUCCCUUUAACAAACUCCUAGGAUCCAGCAACAUUCAUCUGAUGGACGGCACAGGCACCAAAGAAGACAAGAAAUGUCAUGGAUCAGAGGGAGGAUGAUCAGGAGCAGCCGAAUACAACAACAAACCAAGAAGAUUGGUUCUCAGCAAAACACCUAGGACAGGAUAAGGACAACAUUCAGCAAAGAGAAGUUGAAAGGGGUCAUCCAGGAUGAGAAAAUCAGAGCCGAUUUCUUCUAAAAACUGCCCCACCUCUGUCCUAAUGUUGUGUGUGAUUUUCGGAAACAAAUAGCUCUGUUGUCUAUUCCCUUUAACAAGGGCUGGACUGGCCUAGCGGGAUACCGGGAAAAUUGCCGCUAGGCCGCGUGCCCUCUGGGCCGGCAGUGUCUGGAGGACAGGCUGCCUGAGUCCCGACAAAUCACUGUAUCAGUCUGUCAGGACCUGUGUGCUCGGCAGCUGCAGCAUUACACACAGAUCCUGAGACGCCUGACAGCUGAUACCGUGAGGGGAGGUCCGGAGGACAGAGUCUGUACUGGGAGCUGUACAGAGAAGACACUCACCUCGGCCUCUACUCUCUGCCUUCUCACUGCUCCUGGUCCCUCCUCCUGUCGGCACAGUGACUGCAGCUGCUAGGGGGAAGAUCUACUAUGCAGGUAAGAACAUACCCCAUAUGUGGAUGUAAAGUGCUCUGCGGGCAAACUACAAUGCUCAGAAGAGGAGGAGUGCCAUUGGGCUUUUAGAGAGAAAAUUUGUCUGGAAUUAAAAGCAACUGAAGGACAAAUGAAUUAAAGGAUGGCAGCAUAUGGCAACUUUACUGUUUGCAUUUUUAAAACCAAAAAAGGAGUGUAUCAUUGUUAAAAAGGCUGUUUUUGGAGAUGGACAGGCAGGCUGAAGGGGAGGAGGUAGGCCUGUAUUUUGUACUUAAAAACUCAAAUGGGUUUUUGGGUUCAAAAUGUGUAAUUUUCUUCUAUGUUGCUACCCUUUUAUAAUCCAUACUCAAACAAGCACACUGGGAAAUUUUGGAAGAUGUCCCGCUCUGCCAAUCUCUGGAAGAUACUCGGAAGGCCAGGUAUUGUAGAAGAAUUUUUAUUUAAGCAUACAAUGCGUUUCAAAGCCGAACUGGCUUUUUCAUCAGGCAUGCACAAUAAGCUAAAAAGCCUGUA